rnacentral:lncRNA from 1 species
GUUCAGAGUCUAAAUUUUCUUUCAAAAUCAGAUUGUGACUUUGACUUGCAAAGGAUAUCGAUUAUCAAGAGACAUUGCUUCAGGUCUCCAGGGCUUCAAAUUUCCAGUUUGAAUCUUCCAAUUCCUGCUAUGAACAUUUUUUCAACCAAGAAGGACCCUGCUUCCUGGUAACACAGCACACCACAAGGUGAAACAGAAACUGGCAACUGCAAGAUGGUUUCUGGUGGCCCAGAGGGGUCUGGGAAAAAGCAAACUCUCCAGGUGAAGUUUCUGGAAUGCUCAGCUAACCAAACCAUUUGGAAAGCAAAAACUGGCAAUAGUACCUGAACUGACAGACAACAACAACCCAAGAAUCUGAGUACACAGAAUGGAUGUCAUCUGAUGAAAAGAGAGCAACUUCUUUGCUUCUGCUGAACUCAGAAAAGUUUAACUUUUUAUCCUCUGAGUAAAAACCUUGGUCCGCUUUCUUUCACUGGUGCCAAAGGAGGACUUGACUAACCUUUCGGGCAUGAAACGGGGUCCACAGAGCUGAAGGAAGGAAGCUUAUGGGUCACGAUGAGCCUCAGAGGUAGCCAGACCUCCAGUCAACCUCCCAGGGGUCUGGUUUUGUUUGAGUUGCAUUGCCAAUGCUUUGUUCACGUCAACAAAAGACGCACUGACCCGAGUUAUCAUUACUGCACUUCUACAGAUUUUCCACAUUUAUCACUGACUGGCCAUAUCUUUACAAGAUGA